CAAACAUCUUGAAUCCGUUGAGGUUGAUCACGAUGAUGCCACAUCCGGUUUCAUUCAAGGACUUCUAUUCAGAACAAACUUCAUGAUUUCUGAACUAAUUGGAUAUGAUAAAUGGUAACAAGUAUUCACUUGCAUUCAAGGGACAAAAAAUCAUUGGGAUAUAUGAUUAUGACAAACACGAUUGGAAGCUGAAUGGUUGCGGGAGGCAAGCAGUGGGAUAAUGAUCUGCAAGUGGAAACUUCUUACUUUUAUCAUAUCCCAUCAGCUCGAAAGUCUUGAUGUUAGUUUUGAAUUGAAGUGCUUGAAUUACACCAGAUUUAUUGUGCUCGUGUAUCCCGGUAAAUUCGACUAAUGACCAA